rnacentral:rRNA from 1 species
GGAGSGUKMRAGCGUUAAUCGGAAUUACUGGGCGUAAAGGGUGCGUAGGUGGUUUAUUAAGUUAUCUGUGAAAUACCUGGGCUCAACCUGGGCAGGUCAGAUAAUACUGAUGGACUCGAGUAUGGGAGAGGGUAGUGGAAUUUCCGGUGUAGCGGUGAAAUGCGUAGAGAUCGGAAGGAACACCAGUGGCGAAGGCGGCUACCUGGCCUAAUACUGACACUGAGGCACGAAAGCGUGGGGAGCAAACAGGAUUAGAUACCCUGGUAGUCCACGCUGUAAACGAUGUCAACUAGCUGUUGGUUAUAUGAAUAUAAUUAGUGGCGCAGCAAACGCGAUAAGUUGACCGCCUGGGGAGUACGGUCGCAAGAUUA